rnacentral:rRNA from 1 species
UACAGAGGGGGCAAGCGUUAUUCGGAAUUAUUGGGCGUAAAGGGCUCGUAGGCGGUUUGUCGCGUCGGGAGUGAAAUCCACUGGCUUAACUGGUGGCUUGCUUUCGAUACGGGCAGACUGGAGGUAUGCAGGGGAGAACGGAAUUCCCGGUGUAGUGGUGGAAUGCGUAGAUAUUGGGAGGAACACCGGUGGCGAAGGCGGCCCUCUGGACCGGUACUGACGCUGAUGCGCGAAAGCGUGGGGAGCAAACAGG